GUUUGAUCCUGGCUCAGGACGAACCCUUUCGGCGUGCUUAACACAUGCAAGUCGAACGGAAAGGCCCUCCGGGGUACUCGAGUGGCGAACGGGUGAGUAACACGUGGUGAUCUGCCCUGCACUUUGGGAUAAGCCUGGGAAACUGGGUCUAAUACCGAAUAGGACCACGCGCUUCAUGGUGUGUGGUGGAAAGCUUUUGCGGUGUGGGAUGGGCCCGCGGCCUAUCAGCUUGUUGGUGGGGUAAUGGCCUACCAAGGCGACGACGGGUAGCCGGCCUGAGAGGGUGACCGGCCACACUGGGACUGAGAUACGGCCCAGACUCCUACGGGAGGCAGCAGUGGGGAAUAUUGCACAAUGGGCGCAAGCCUGAUGCAGCGACGCCGCGUGAGGGAUGACGGCCUUCGGGUUGUAAACCUCUUUCAAUAGGGACGAAGCGUGAGUGACGGUACCUAUAGAAGAAGCACCGGCCAACUACGUGCCAGCAGCCGCGGUAAUACGUAGGGUGCGAGCGUUGUCCGGAAUUACUGGGCGUAAAGAGCUCGUAGGUGGUUUGUCGCGUUGUUCGUGAAAACUCACAGCUUAACUGUGGGCGUGCGGGCGAUACGGGCAGACUAGAGUACUGCAGGGGAGACUGGAAUUCCUGGUGUAGCGGUGGAAUGCGCAGAUAUCAGGAGGAACACCGGUGGCGAAGGCGGGUCUCUGGGCAGUAACUGACGCUGAGGAGCGAAAGCGUGGGGAGCGAACAGGGUUAGAUACCCUGGUAGUCCACGCCGUAAACGGUGGGUACUAGGUGUGGGUUCCUUCCUUGGGAUCCGUGCCGUAGCUAACGCAUUAAGUACCCCGCCUGGGGAGUACGGCCGCAAGGCUAAAACUCAAAGGAAUUGACGGGGGCCCGCACAAGCGGCGGAGCAUGUGGAUUAAUUCGAUGCAACGCGAAGAACCUUACCUGGGUUUGACAUGCACAGGACGCCGGCAGAGAUGUCGGUUCCCUUGUGGCCUGUGUGCAGGUGGUGCAUGGCUGUCGUCAGCUCGUGUCGUGAGAUGUUGGGUUAAGUCCCGCAACGAGCGCAACCCUUGUCCUAUGUUGCCAGCGGGUUAUGCCGGGGACUCGUAGGAGACUGCCGGGGUCAACUCGGAGGAAGGUGGGGAUGACGUCAAGUCAUCAUGCCCCUUACGUCCAGGGCCUCACACAUGCUACAAUGGCCGGUACAAAGGGCUGCGAUGCCGUGAGGUGGAGCGAAUCCUUUCAAAGCCGGUCUCAGUUCGGAUCGGGGUCUGCAACUCGACCCCGUGAAGUCGGAGUCGCUAGUAAUCGCAGAUCAGCAACGCUGCGGUGAAUACGUUCCCGGGCCUUGCACUCACCGCCCGUCA
rnacentral:rRNA from 1 species